CCGCUUUUAGCUCAGUGGUCGAGCGUUGGCUUUGGAAGCCACAGGUCGGUGGUUCGAACCCGCCAGGGCACG
rnacentral:tRNA from 2 species